CAUCGCGGCACACAGCAACAGUCCCUGGUCCUACGAUCGAGGCCAUUUAUGGAGUUGACUCUUAUAUUACGUGGCGAAAUCACCUCCCUUCAAAGCACAUACUUCCAUGGGACCCAUCAAUUCCAAUUGCUACAACUACUUUUAAAAAAGGGAUCCCAACUGUGGUGCACCUACAUGGUGGAAUUGAUGAACCACAAAGUGAUGGUCACUCUGAGGCAUGGUUCACUAAACAUUUCAAACAUCAUGGACCAAAAUGGACUACAAAAACCUAUCAUUAUCAUAACUAUCAACAUCCCGGUACAAUGUGGUACCACGAUCACGCGAUGGG
rnacentral:misc_RNA from 1 species